UCUGUCACACCUUGUUCUUCAGAGUUCAAAUCUGUCGUUGCCGUAAGCUGCUUCUUCUCUGAUUGCUUUGCAAUUAGUUGCCCUAAGCUGCUUCUUCUCCGAUUGCUUUGCUUCUCCGAUUGCUCUGCUCUCCGCUCGAGCUGCUUUCCGAGGCUGACAGAGAAUCUUCAGAUUUGGUAAUUUCGAUAAAGAUUCCGGUGUUGGUCCAGUCGAUCGGUUGCGAGACAGAUCCUUGCAGAAUGGAAGAACAAUUCCAAUGUAACGUUAAUGCUCGUUGAUUCUUUUGUUGAAAAAUUCUUGCUGUGUUAGUCUUUUAAUUGAACAACUCAGACAAAGGAAUAAGCAAACACUCACAAUGACACCAAUGCUAAUACAUUGAUGUUGUGGUCUUUAUUUAAAUGAACAAGGAUUGAUUUUGUCUAUGAUAUAUAUAUAUAUGCUAUUGUUUUAAUUACAGGUAAAAUCUUAUGAUUCACGAUUCGAUUCUACGAUUCAUGAUUUCACGACCCUCGAUCGAUUCUAUGUAGAAUUGCGAUUCUGACAACCAUGAUAUAAAUGACACUGAUUGUAGCCAAAAGCAAGACAAAUAAAAACAUUUUAAUGCGCCCAAAAUCAAGAAUAAUCAAGUGAUUUCAUUGAGAAGAUCUUGUUAGUUCCAUUUUGCUUUUUUCCACUGAGAGAGGCUUACGGUCAUCGUUACAUUACAUUUGAAUGUGAAGAAGCCUCGUAGUCGGACCCUGAACCACUCACUCUUAGGACCUCAUCCGAGGAAGAAGAGGGCAUUGUAUGCUUUUUUAUGGUAUCAUUCUCAAGGAAACUUAUGUAAAAAGAGACACUUCCGUUCUGCUUAUGUUGAGAGUUAGUGCUACUGAAGAAGUGGAGGCGCAGGCUUGGCGAAAUCUGUAGAUAGUAGCCUCUUCAAAGACUGACAUUUAAUGUUGUUGAUUGUGAUCACUAUCAUAGUAGUCGUGGUCUCAACAUUCUCUCUUGCUAUCUUUGCUCAAUUAAUGAUUUUCUUCUAGCCCCAUGGUUCAAUGGUUGAAGGUUUUCUGUGGACUGAUUUGGGGCUGGCCUCUUGAACGACGGUGUUGGUGGUGAUGAUGAGCGCCAUGGAAAAGCCAAGAUCAUCAGUAAAAUCAUGAUCAGCCAUUUGCCCCAUUAAUUUAGAAAAUCUUUCAAUUAAGUGUUUUUUUAUCCGAUUUAUGUCAAAGUAUUCAAGUACCAAUAAUUGUAAAACUAUUGCUUCUGAGGAAGUCUCCUCACGCUACCAAAACAUGAAGCGAAUGAGAAAAAAAAAAUUGAGAGAAAACUUUAUGUCAA